CAGAGUUCUUGCCCUUCGGGGUAGAUCUCCCACCCUUGUGUAUCAUUAUCGAAUGUUGCUUUGGCGGGCCGCGAGCCUAGCUUGCCCAGAUUUGCGUCCGGCGCGCCCGCCAGAGGACCCCUAAACUCUGAAUGUUAGUGUCGUCUGAGUACUAUUAAAUAGUUA
rnacentral:misc_RNA from 1 species